UACGUAGGGAGCAAGCGUUGUUCGGAUUUACUGGGCGUAAAGGGCGCGUAGGCGGCGCGGUAAGUCACUUGUGAAAUCUCUGAGCUUAACUCAGAACGGCCAAGUGAUACUGCAGUGCUAGAGUGCAGGAAGGGGCAAUCGGAAUUCUUGGUGUAGCGGUGAAAUGCGUAGAUAUUGGGAAGAACACCUGAGGCGAAGGCGGGUUGCUGGGCCGACACUGACGCUGAGGCGCGAAAGCCAGGGGAGCAAACGGG
rnacentral:rRNA from 1 species